UGAUGGGCUGUGUUGCCUGUCUUCACAGUGAAAGGCUGCCACCUUGUGGUAUUAGUACGGGUUAGUGAUAAAUCUGCAAACUACUGCUCUGCAUACCGAGUGAUGUUUCCAAAGGGUAAGUAAAAUAGAGUGAAAUAGAUCCACUCGGGAGACAAGCAACCGAUCCCACCCUUACGAAAAAAGAUUACCGUCAGAGUGCAGUAUGCUGCAAAUACUGCAUCCAACAUAACAUUCUUUUUUUACUGCAGUCAUUUUGCAGUGUAACCGAUCAAGGAACAGAAGAAGCGAGAGGUAAAACGACCCAAAAUCGGUCUUCUCCAGCAGGGGGCGUACAUGACCCAUCAAAUUAGCCAGGUGUGUCUGACGGUGAUUACGGCUAUCUAUUGUAUAAUAAUGCUCAAAUAUUUGUAUCUGGAAUUUGUCUUUCAGCAUCAGUAGAACACACCCGACUCUCCACCAGUCAUGGAGAAUGGUCUAAUGCCUCCCAUCGAAAAGAGAGCUGGCCCAAGCAAGCAUGAGGACUUGCAGCAAGUUGUGAACUCAACAACUACACUGAGGAUAAUGCAAUAAUAUUACCAGGACACAAACACUUUGGUGGAAAGCUGCUGCCAUCCCAUGUGACAAUAGCAGCGAUGUGGCAUCUCUACAAGGAAUCGAUGACAUCACUUGAGGCUCCACCACAGUCUGGACCUUCACUUCCUGAUCACAGGCCACACCUGGCUUCAGCCUCAUCAAGCAGCGCUUCAGAAAGACCAGAGUGAUGUUGUGAAACGGCACUGUGACAGGGGUCAUCACAUGCCCUGCACCAAAGUCAAGGGCAGGACAGAAACAGGCUCUCCGAAUAUAGAUUCCCUUGUUCCAUGUGUUCGGAUGGAUCUGUCAUCAGGACUAUCUGCAGUGCCUCUAUUCAUAUGACUCUCCUAACAUACGUUGCUGCUACUAUUUAUUUUUUUAUCCUGCUGCUCAGCCACUUCACCCCUGAUGGUAUGCAUAUAACUACCUCAUCUAUCCCUGAUAUCGUCAUUGAUAUUGUUCUGUAUAUUAUUUUCUAUAUAUUGACACUAUAUAUAUCUGAUGUUGCUACUAUGCAAGUAACCAUUUGGCUGUAUCGUUUACACCUCCUGUAGAGACCCAUCCACUUAGCAAGAUGUGGCUGGGGGUUAUAGCAUUUCUUUCACAUGACCCAUCAAGUUAGACAAGUGUGUCUGGGUAAGCGUCAUCUAAUAUUUAUAAAAUAUUUUUUAUCUGGA